GGAUAGCUCAGUUGGUAGAGCAACAGACUGAAAAUCUGUGUGUCGUUGGUUCGAUUCCAUCUCCGG
rnacentral:tRNA from 1 species